CUUCUUUUUGCACUUACAGAGCCUAAGAGAAAUAUAAAUGCUGAAUGUGGCAAGUCAGAUGAUGACAUUUUGUACUGAAUAAUCUAAAAUGAUGAUAUGAGACCUACUUACCUAACAAUGGGCUCCAUGAAACCUUGAAAGUUCAUCCAAAGAACUCCAGGACCAAGACCUAUAUAUAAAAUGUAGGGGUAAAAAAUGAUCUUUGAAGCUAACCCUAAAAACGACUGCUUGGCAAAGGAAAGCCUCUUACUUUAGAGGUGGAGAAGCUGAGGAAUAAUGAGAUA
rnacentral:lncRNA from 1 species